AUCCAAUUUGGACAGGUGUCA
rnacentral:siRNA from 1 species